rnacentral:rRNA from 1 species
UACGGGGGGGGCAAGCGUUGUUCGGAAUUACUGGGCGUAAAGGGCUCGUAGGCGGCCAACUAAGUCAGACGUGAAAUCCCUCGGCUUAACCGGGGAACUGCGUCUGAUACUGGAAGGCUUGAAUCCGGGAGAGGGAUGCGGAAUUCCAGGUGUAGCGGUGAAAUGCGUAGAGAUGUGGAGGAACACCGAUGGCGAAGGCAGCCCCCUGGGUCAAAACUGACGCUCAUGCACGAAAGCGUGGGGAGCAAACAGG